rnacentral:rRNA from 1 species
GGCGAACGGGUGAGUAACACGUGGGCAAUCUGCCCUUCACUCUGGAACAAGCCCUGGAAACGGGGUCUAAUACCGGAUAACACUCUGUCCUGCAUGGGACGGGGUUGAAAGCUCCGGCGGUGAAGGAUGAGCCCGCGGCCUAUCAGCUUGUUGGUGGGGUAAUGGCCUACCAAGGCGACGACGGGUAGCCGGCCUGAGAGGGCGACCGGCCACACUGGGACUGAGACACGGCCCAGACUCCUACGGGAGGCAGCAGUGGGGAAUAUUGCACAAUGGGCGAAAGCCUGAUGCAGCGACGCCGCGUGAGGGAUGACGGCCUUCGGGUUGUAAACCUCUUUCAGCAGGGAAGAAGCGCAAGUGACGGUACCUGCAGAAGAAGCGCCGGCUAACUACGUGCCAGCAGCCGCGGUAAUACGUAGGGCGCAAGCGUUGUCCGGAAUUAUUGGGCGUAAAGAGCUCGUAGGCGGCUUGUCACGUCGGAUGUGAAAGCCCGGGGCUUAACCCCGGGUCUGCAUUCGAUACGGGCUAGCUAGAGUGUGGUAGGGGAGAUCGGAAUUCCUGGUGUAGCGGUGAAAUGCGCAGAUAUCAGGAGGAACACCGGUGGCGAAGGCGGAUCUCUGGGCCAUUACUGACGCUGAGGAGCGAAAGCGUGGGGAGCGAACAGGAUUAGAUACCCUGGUAGUCCACGCCGUAAACGUUGGGAACUAGGUGUUGGCGACAUUCCACGUCGUCGGUGCCGCAGCUAACGCAUUAAGUUCCC